rnacentral:sRNA from 1 species
CUCGUCGCUCUUAAGGCUCGCCACUGUGGAAGGUUCGCCAAGGCUCGCCGCUGUUGAAGGCUCGUUGUUGUCGAAGGCUCGUUGUCGAAGGCUAUGCCGCACUCUGCCGUCGUCGAACUGUCGAAGGCUCUACCACCAUCGUCGAAGGUUCUGAGAACACUCUUCCUUUAGCUAGAAGCAAAGGCAUAUCACUCUGCAACCAAAGGUCAGCAAUGCACAGGAAGAAUUGCUUCAUUUGUAUACAGGAAAUGCAAGGAGCAAUCCCCAAAUAAUUCAUGCAACUAAAAGAUGUGCAGCUAACAUUCUGCAAGCCAUUAGUGACUUCUCUCAAGCCAACUGAAAGAAUGUGUCUUCAAGAGAUAUUGGAGAUUGCAUGUCCAGCGGGAAAGUUCUUGGUCCUAGCCAUGAAGUAGUGAUGUUCUACAUGUUUUAUGAGAGAUGGAGGUGUGGUGAAGUUGAGAAUCCUAAGCAGUAUAUGCACAAUUUGAAAGCAGUCUUUGUAAGUUUGAUCCAAUUGUAAGAUUUUACUUAGCUGCAAAUUCAUAUCUAAGCAAGGUGGACCAUGUUUUGAACCAGACACACUUGUUUCUCAUGCUUCCUAUGCUUUCAAUAGCUACUAUCAGACAAAUGGGAAUUUCGAUAUUGCAUACAAUUUUUGAGGCAUUGCUACUUUGACCAAACGUGACCCUAGUAAGUCAAAAUGUUUAUCUCGUUAGGUUAAUUAUGUUAAGUGUUCUGAGAGUGAUUUAGAGGGUUCUAGGUUAAUUAUGUUCCAAGUUAAUUAUCUAUGUAGCAUCCUUUCACUUUUGGUACCAUAAUGAUUUAGAAUGUAAUAAUGAAUAACACUACUUGUGUGAUUGAUG